rnacentral:piRNA from 1 species
UUUUUCUAUGUUUCACGGUUGCAGGU